rnacentral:lncRNA from 1 species
GGCCGGUAGAGCAGAAAGCACACCAUUUAAUCAUAGAUAAACCUGAGCUGUGUUUCAUAUAGUAAUGAUGUGGGAUUACUUUUAUAGUAACUGAAAAAGCAAGAUGUAUAGCUUGUAUACUCUUUUAUAGAAGCCCACUUAAGUUUUGACAAUUUCUGCAAAGUUACUCAAAAAUUGUUAAUAAUAGUUAUUUCUAGGAAGGUGAUCGCUAGGCGGCUCAUAUUAGGUGACAUUUGAGGUGAGCAGAAACUUGAUUUUUUUUUUUUUUUUAAUGAAUGAAGUUUUACUGUGUGAGAGUUUUCACCAUAGUUUGUUUUUUACAAUUGCUUUUUUCUUUCACGAUUACAUAUGUGUGUGUGUAUAUAUAUAUGACUUUGAGAACCUCAAUCACCCUAUUUAUCAUCCUCUCCCUCCUGAGACUUGCUUUUGCUGAAUAUUUAUUUGGAUCUUCAGAAUAUACUAUUAAAAGUGACUGAUUGGGAGUCUGGAGAGAUGGCUCAGAGGACCAGAUCUCAGUUUCCAGCACCCACGUCUGGUGGCUUCGGGUGGCCUGGACCUCCAGCUCUAGAGGAUCCAACACCUCUGACUUCUCAGGGGACCCACACUUGUGUACAUACCUGCUUGUAGACACAAUUUUAAAAAACCU